GAUGAACGCUGGCGGCGUGCCUAAUACAUGCAAGUCGAGCGAACGGACGAGAAGCUUGCUUCUCUGAUGUUAGCGGCGGACGGGUGAGUAACACGUGGAUAACCUACCUAUAAGACUGGGAUAACUUCGGGAAACCGGAGCUAAUACCGGCUGAUAUUUUGAACCGCAUGGUUCAAAAGUGAAAGACGGUCUUGCUGUCACUUAUAGAUGGAUCCGCGCUGCAUUAGCUAGUUGGUAAGGUAACGGCUUACCAAGGCAACGAUGCAUAGCCGACCUGAGAGGAUGAUCGGCCACACUGGAACUGAGACACGGUCCAGACUCCUACGGGAGGCAGCAGUAGGGAAUCUUCCGCAAUGGGCGAAAGCCUGACGGAGCAACGCCGCGUGAGUGAUGAAGGUCUUCGGAUCGUAAAACUCUGUUAUUAGGGAAGAACAUAUGUGUAAGUAACUGUGCACAUCUUGACGGUACCUAAUCAGAAAGCCACGGCUAACUACGUG
rnacentral:rRNA from 1 species